rnacentral:rRNA from 1 species
UUUUAUGGAGAGUUUGAUCCUGGGUCAGGAUGAACGCUGGCGGCGUGCCUAAUACAUGCAAGUCGAG